rnacentral:rRNA from 1 species
GAUGAACGCUGGCGGCGUGCCUAAUACAUGCAAGUCGAGCGAACGGACGAGAAGCUUGCUUCUCUGAUGUUAGCGGCGGACGGGUGAGUAACACGUGGAUAACCUACCUAUAAGACUGGGAUAACUUCGGGAAACCGGAACUAAUACCGGAUGAUAUUUUGAACCGCAUGGUUCAAAAGUGAAAGACGGUCUUGCUGUCACUUAUAGAUGGAUCCGCGCUGCAUUAGCUAGUUGGUAAGGUAACGGCUUACCAAGGCAACGAUGCAUAGCCGACCUGAGAGGGUGAUCGGCCACACUGGAACUGAGACACGGUCCAGACUCCUACGGGUGGCAGCAGUAGGGAAUCUUCCGCAAUGGGCGAAAGCCUGACGGAGCAACGCCGCGUGAGUGAUGAAGGUCUUCGGAUCGUAAAACUCUGUUAUUAGGGAAGAACAUAUGUGUAAGUAACUGUGCACAUCUUGACGGUACCUAAUCAGAAAGCCACGGCUAACUACGUG